GAACUGAGGAAAAUGUAGUAAUACAUGUCUAAUAUGAUGAUAAAAAUGCCUUGAGACAUGAAAGUGGGUAUAUAAAGAUGAGGGUUCAUUGAUAAUUCAUUUCUCUCCCACAAUUUUCUUUCCAUUUCCACUCCUCUCCAUCCUUUCUGAUAAGCAUACCCUUAAUACUUCAACUGUCUGCUCCUAAUUGACCACAAUCAAAAUCUAUACAGCAAACGACUAGAAUGAGGAGAAUCUACUUGCCUUUUUCCCUUUUUCUAUUCCACAAAUUCUUUCACAAGUUUCCCGCUUCUGCCUCGGUCAAAGAUUUCAUACAGCCAGAAAGUGCAUAGAUUCAUCACAACCGUCAAGUCAUGUCAAUAAAAUUUAACAGGAUGGGUUAUGCACGGUCAGAUUGGAUGCUGAAUCCAAUUGCCUGUUUGGGGGAGGGGACGUGGAGUGUUGUUUGGAACAACAGAUGAUGAAGCUUUUUAAGGUGGUUCCCAAGAUGGUAUGAUUUGUGAUUUUAUGCAGAUGUUGGGCAACAUAUAGCAGAAAACGACAAUUCUCUGCUGUCAUGGCUGAAGGUAUUUAUCAAUUUAUGUAUGCUGGUUUAUGGAAUAUAUAUGAAGCAAAUCAGCUCUUGAGAAAUGAUGAAGCAUAUAGGACAAUCUGAUAUAUGCACUUGUUGUGGCUUAAGUUUUCAAGUCUAAUAAAAAAUAAAGGUUUGCGAUGGAAUAUUGGAUACAUGCUAGGAAGGCAUUUAUGCUUCUCUAUUUGUAUUUGGUCUAUUACAUUUGUUUUUAUGUUAGCUUGUUGUGUUACAGGGUGGGGAUUGUGGCAGAAAUUUGCUACUGUCAUCGUUUUUGUAUUUCUGUGAUAGGGUACAUCUGGUACUCUAUUUUAAUAAUAUUUUGCUUUUAA